rnacentral:rRNA from 1 species
GACGAACGCUGGCGGCGUGCCUAAUACAUGCAAGUUGAGCGCUGAAGGUUGGUACUUGUACCAACUGGAUGAGCAGCGAACGGGUGAGUAACGCGUGGGGAAUCUGCCUUUGAGCGGGGGACAACAUUUGGAAACGAAUGCUAAUACCGUAUAAAAACUUUAAACACAAGUUUUAAGUUUGAAAGAUGCAAUUGCAUCACUCAAAGAUGAUCCCGCGUUGUAUUAGCUAGUUGGUGAGGUAAAGGCUCACCAAGGCGAUGAUACAUAGCCGACCUGAGAGGGUGAUCGGCCACAGUGGGACUGAGACACGGCCCAAACUCCUACGGGAGGCAGCAGUAGGGAAUCUUCGGCAAUGGACGAAAGUCUGACCGAGCAACGCCGCGUGAGUGAAGAAGGUUUUCGGAUCGUAAAACUCUGUUGGUAGAGAAGAACGUUGGUGAGAGUGGAAAGCUCAUCAAGUGACGGUAACUACCCAGAAAGGGACGGCUAACUACAUG